UACGUAGGGGGCAAGCGUUGUCCGGAAUCAUUGGGCGUAAAGCGCGCGUAGGCGGCCCGGUAAGUCCGCUCUGAAAGUCCAGGGCUCAACCCUGGAAAGCGGGUGGAUACUGCCGGGCUAGAAUCCGGAAGAGGCGAGUGGAAUUCCUGGUGUAGCGGUGGAAUGCGCAGAUAUCAGGAGGAACACCGGUGGCGAAGGCGGCAUCCUGGACCAACACUGACGCUGAGUGAGCGAAAGCCAGGGGAGCAAACGGG
rnacentral:rRNA from 1 species